ensembl:lncRNA
AAUGAGGUGCUUUUUUGGUGGUUUUAUGGGACCUUGGUGAAGUAGAAGAAAGGCUGUGGAGGAAAAACUUGGUAUACUGCAUACUGCAUAGUCAUUGCUGAGGAGUCAAAUGGAGGAGAAACAACUGGGUACAUACAGGUGCUACAAAUGUUCUGGAGGAGAGCCUCAGUGUUCCCAAGAAGACACAGUGUCUUCUGCAGCUCCAGUGAAGAUCCCUGCCUGGACACCAGCCCAGCUGCCACUCAUCACCACUACCAAGUCUAAGCUUGCUGGCUUGCUGCUGUUCAGAGAAGCUAAUGACAACCACAUCCUCGGAGCUACUCAUUUCUACACGGCCCCCAAUACUCACUAUUCUUGGUUGGUUUUAUCUAUUUUUUAUAGUACACUACACUUGGGGGGGGGGGGGGGGGGGGGGGG